UUAUCACAAACAAGACCAGAAUUCAUAUCAACACUAGGUUAACUACUAAGCUAUACUUGAAAAUCUAAGUACACAGUGUAUAUAUAUACAUACACAGAUAGAAAAUCUUUGGUUACCACGGAAUCAAUUUCCCUGUUGUAAUGCAAGUGAUGGUUAUACAUAAUACAUAGCUAUAAAGUGACCCCUGGGAAACACUGGUAUGUUAAAUCACAUUAAACAUGUUAUAAUCACUGCUUUGGCUCUCACUGAUAAGACAAACUAUCAAUAUAUGCAUCACUGCCAUCAAAUUUGAAUAGUCGGAAAGGUUUGUAACUAGGUAAUGGAAAGAUUUUCAUACAUGUGUAUUAACAACCCCUUAUUUUAUGGUACUGCAGUUUUUGCUCUGUCCACACAGCACUGACAAAUCAGCCUUUGGACUAGCCAGGAGGACCACAUGCUUCACAUCCAGCCCACUUUCCAUCCACAACUACCUUGGUGUUCAGAGACACAGCUAUACAGGUAUCUGGGAAAUAAAGCUAGGAAGAGUGUGCACUGAGUAAAAAGAAUGGCUAUUCCUUCAACUACCAUGGGAACUACAUCGGAACUGCAGCUCACACAUAAUGAAAGUCUUAUUAAGUCAGUGUCAAAUAUUCCAUAAACUUGCAAAUUCAAGUAAUGGCAGGAUCAAACCAUGAUUUAAAAGUAGUGAGGUAGUAUCAAGGACAAAACAUUUCAUAGCUUUCACUUCUCCAUUAACUGUUUCUAUGCAAGUGUUGCCUUCAGUGACUGGCAAGGCUUUCUCUAGUUCCAGUCAAGUAGCUUCAGCAUAAAUGCAAAUGGGUAACGAUAACUACAGUCAUGCACAGAAUUUCCUACUUCCCUGUAAGCUGCAAAUGCUCACUUUCAGCAAGAACGAAGAACAAAACCAUCAGCAUUCACAAUUUAAACCAGUUCUCAUUGCAUAAUGGUAAUUCUAUAUCCCUCUUACUUAGCUUUCAAAAGAUAAGAUAGUCCACAGACCAUACACCAUUGCUCGUACCUAAGCUAACUUUAUUGUAAAGCUUUCCCUCCCCAGAUCAGUAACGACUUGAAAACAAGCAGUGCUUCCUGCUCUUGAGCUGUGCUACAGUCUGUGGCACCACGACCAGACAGGAUCUACUGAACUUGCGUAGCAAUGAAAACUUCUUUGACAUUUUCUAAUCCUUGGUGGUCCAGAUUCUUCAAGG